AGAAUCUAAGUUGGCUUAUGGGAUCAAAACCAGGAGCUCUUAACGCUGUGACCAAAGACUGAAGUUCUCCAUAGGAUACAGUAGUCACUCAAUAGUGCUAUGUUUUCCUGAGGAGAUGUAUAA
rnacentral:snoRNA from 1 species